GACGAACGCUGGCGGCGUGCUUAACACAUGCAAGUCGAACGGAAAGGCCCCUUUGGGGGUACUCGAGUGGCGAACGGGUGAGUAACACGUGAGUAACCUGCCCUUGACUUCGGGAUAACUUCAGGAAACUGGGGCUAAUACCGGAUAGGAAUCCUUGCUGCAUGGUGGGGGUUGGAAAGCUUCGGCGGUUUUGGAUGGACUCGCGGCUUAUCAGCUUGUUGGUGGGGUAGUGGCUUACCAAGGCUUUGACGGGUAGCCGGCCUGAGAGGGCGACCGGCCACAUUGGGACUGAGAUACGGCCCAGACUCCUACGGGAGGCAGCAGUGGGGAAUAUUGCACAAUGGGCCGAAGCCUGAUGCAGCAACGCCGCGUGCGGGAUGACGGCCUUCGGGUUGUAAACCGCUUUCAGCAGGGGCGAAGCUUGUGGUGACGGUACCUGCAGAAGAAGCACCGGCUAACUACGUG
rnacentral:rRNA from 1 species